rnacentral:rRNA from 1 species
UUCGACCUACGGGGGGCAGCAGUAGGGAAUUUUCGUCAAUGGGCGCAAGCCUGAACGAGCAAUGCCGCGUGAACGAGGAAGGUCUUCGGAUCGUAAAGUUCUGUUGAAGGGGAAAAAGAGCGGAGAGAGGAAAUGAGCUCCGAUUGAUAUUACCCUUCGAGGAAGUCACGGCUAACUACGUGCCAGCAGCCGCGGUAAUACGUAGGUGGCGAGCGUUAUCCGGAAUGAUUGGGCGUAAAGGGUGCGUAGGCGGCCUGCUAAGACUGGCGUGA